GACUGUGUGUUUUCCUCACUAACCAAAAACGAGGAUGAGUGCAAAUGUCACGCGUUGUUUUUCCUCUCUUAUAGUCAGUCAUUCUCAGAGCGGUGUUAUUUUUUUUGAAGCGGACUGCCGAAGCGUUUCAUCACAACAACUCUUUGGUUUCGUGCUCGUUUUUUUUGUGGAAAAGGAAGGAGAAAACAAGUUGCAGAAAGUGAGUGGGAAAUUUCUUAUUUUGAUGAGCCAGGAUGGCGAGUCCGCCGUUAACGGUAGGGACCUCGUUAUCAAACGUCAACACGAAUUGCGACAACGUCAGAAAAAGUGGAUACCUUAAGAAGCAGAAGCACGGACACCGGAGAUUUUUCGUGUUGAAGCAGCAGCAGCAGAGCGACUGUCUCUCAGCCCGGCUGGAGUAUUACGACAGCGAGAAGAAAUGGAGAAACAAAUCCGCUGCGAAGAGAGUGAUCUCUCUCGACUCCUGUCUGAGCAUAAACAAGCGCGCAGACGCCAAGCACAGGUACCUGAUCGCUCUUUACACCAAGGACGAAUAUUUCGCCGUGGCUGCUGAAAACGAAAACGAGCAGGAAAGCUGGUACAGAGACCUCACCGAUUUAAUGAGCGAGGGAAAAGUGUACGACAGCACCGUCACCAACUCUGCGUCUUCUUUAAUGGGCUUUGACGAGGGCAACUACGGCAUGAUCACUCCAGUGAACGCGGCUUACAAAGAGGUAUGGCAGGUCAACCUGAAAUCUAAAGGACUUGGGCAGACUAGGAACAUCACAGGAGUUUACAGGUUGUGUUUAUCCAGCCGCUCGAUUAGCUUUGUGAAACUCAACACUGAAGUCCCAUCUGUCAGCCUGCAGCUGAUGAACAUAAGGAGAUGUGGCCAUUCUGACAGCUUUUUCUUCAUCGAGGUGGGAAGAUCUGCGUCUACGGGACCUGGAGAGCUGUGGAUGCAGGCUGACGACUCUGUGGUGGCACAAAACAUACACGAAACCAUUUUGGAGGCUAUGAAAGCAAUGAAGGAGUCAUCAGAGUUCAGACCACGCAGUAAAAGUCAGUCUUCAGGUUCCAACCCCAUAUCUGUUCCCACCCGGCGAAACCUGAACAAUUUGCCUCCCAGUCAGACAGGGUUGGUAAGGAGGUCAAGAACAGACAGCGUGGCGGCCACAUCACCUAUCAACAAGUUUACUUCCUGUCGCAUACGAACAGCCAGUGAGGGCGAGGGAACCAUGGCGAGGCCAAUAUCCAUGUCUGUUUCGGAAAACGGAAGCCCCACUGUUCGGAACCACAUGAGCAGGUCCAACACCGUUUCUGUGGGAUGCCGUACAUUUGAAGCAUCACUUCUACAUCACAACCGAUCCAUGUCUAUGUCUGUGCCUGUAUCUCAUUCACCUCCAUCUCCCAUAAGCCCACUGAGCCUCUCCUCUACUAGCAUGAAUGGCUCCACCUCCACCUCAGCCAUACACAAGCCUUCGAGUUGCAGUGGUUCUGUCUCAGGGUCACCUAGUGACACCGGCUUUCUAUCAUGUGAUGAUUACGGGUCCAGCCCAGGGGAUGCAAAAUACAAUUCAUCCAACCGGAGCAAUACACCUUCAUCCUUUUCUGGGACACCGCCUUCCCGUGAAAGCACAGAUCUCAAUGGUUACGUGAUGAUGGACAGUCCAUCGAACCACUCCUUGCAUAAAAUCCUAACAUCCAGCAGAGACAAGUUGAACUUAGAGAAGUUAUACAGGAGGAGAACGUACUCCCUUACAGCACCACAACAACCGAAGACCCCCUCUCAGCAGUCAUCAACCUCACUUGAUGAAUAUAUGUUAAUGUGGGCCGGGUAUGCUAAUGGUCACUCUGGGCAGAACACACACUCUGUUUCUCCAAAAGUUUCAUACCCUGAGGAUUAUGGAGACCUUGAAAUUGGGUCCAGCAGGAUUUCUAUCAGUAACCAAGCUGGUGAUGGAUACAUGCCCAUGACACCAGGUGUGGCAUUACAAGGCAGUAAAAAUGACCACUAUGUGCCCAUGAGUCCCAUGUGUGUUUCUGCCCCUAAGCAGAUCAUUAAUCCCAGAUCCCACCCUCAGGCCACAGGUAGGCAAGGCACAACCAAUUCUCCAAGUACUGGUUCACUAGAGGACACUGGUUACAUGAGGAUGUUGUCUGGCUCCAAAUCCUCAUUGGACAGCACUGAUGUCAGAGUGGCAAAUGGAGAAUAUAUGAACAUGUCACCUGUUGAUCCAUAUGUCGCAGCAACUCCACCAGAUUAUUUUCUUGGAGGGGGUGCACCAGCACAGCGGCCAUCUUUCUUAUUAAAUUUCAACAAGCACGAAGAACCUAAAAGUGGAGAUGACCAGUAUGUUUUAAUGUGCCCUCAGGGUCAAAAACAAGGUGAGGAGACAAAUUGCAAUGCCAUGACUAUGACAAACCCUGGGCUAUUAUUGCCCAGCCCCUCCACCCUUCUAUCACUCAAGCAUAGUCGAAACGAUGGACUGCUGCACAGAGCACGAGUCAGCAGACAGAACAGAUUAUCUCUGGAUACUUUAAAGAUGCUCCCAAGUAUGAAUGAACAUCCUCUUCCCAGUGAGCCAAAAAGCCCAGGGGAGUAUAUCAACAUAAGUUUUAGUGACUCUUCACGGUACACCUUGCCCUCUGGAUCAUUGGACAGUCAGACUUCAUCGCCAAGCCUUAGCAGCAUGAGAAGAAGAUCCCCAGUUUGUGACUACAUCAACCUUGACCUGAACUCAAAUUCCCCCAAAUCAGAGGAAACCCUUGCUAGUUCCCUGCUUGAAAUCCCCGAACUCACCAACUGCCCAUGCUCAUCUGAUGAGGGAACAUAUGUCUCUGAUGAGCAGAGCUCCUCCUGUUCACCUGGCACCAGGAAAGAUGAUUAUGCUGAGAUGAAGUUUGAUGAUGCACAUGUAUCACCCUCAAUUGUCACAGAGAAUGAUGAAACUGAUCUGGCUAGCCCCACUAACAGGGUAAAGCAUCUCACUCUGAGUGACAAGAGUAUGCCAGAAAUAGGAGCAUUCCUCUUACCCAAUACCACAGUCAAUCCCGACGGCGAGGCAAAAGUGAUCAGAGCUGACCCACACGGUCGAAGAAGGCACAGCUCAGAGACCUUCUCGUCUACCACUACUGUAAUGCCGGUGUUUCCUUCUUUCGCCCACAAGCCCAAACGUCAUAGUUCUGCCUCUGUUGAGAAUGUCUCGGUCCGGAGCAGCGAGGGUUCGGACGAGGAAUACGGGAGCCCCAUGUGCAAAGAGACUUCUGCUGGGUUCCAGCAUGGCCUAAAUUAUAUCGCCUUAAACCUCAUGGAAAGUAGUGAUUUUGGGAACUGCGGAAAUAUGAUUGGGUUCAAGAACCUCAGUUGCUGCAAAGGUCUACACGACAUCCCCUACGUCUCUCUGGGAUUCAAGGAGACAGUCACCACUGUAAAAGAACAAGAGCCUACUGGAUCAGCAGAAGGAGGGAGGAGAAAUGGAAGGAUUUUCUGUCAUGCUAUUGGUUCUACACCUCUGGGUUAAGAAGCAAGCUGGUUGUGCCCCCCCCCAAAAAUCAAAGAGCCUACUGUUUGACUUUUAGUCAGUGCUGUUGUUUUUAAGCGUUUUUCAGGCUGGUCGGAUUUCAGCAUGGAACUCACUCACCCCUGGCUUGAGAGGCAAAGAGCCAGUUAGAUCUAUUGAUCGUUGCACGGAUCACGGUGGUAGUGUACGUCAAUGACCAGAGGCGGUGGCGGCUGCAGAUGAACUCUGCAGAUGAACUUUGACCCUCGACCCUCACUCUGCGUCCCUGACAGACUAAAUGUUGAUCCUAUCCAAGCUGGACACUUUAAAUGUGGCCACUUCUGCAAGCAUGAAGACCACGAUCCACUCUGUCCUUCAGGAAACAAAAUUGCUGCUCUGUAGGUGACGAUGAUCACAAACUUUGUGUUGUGUAUGCUGUAUAGUUUAUUUUUAUUGUUGUUAACACUUUAAUCAUAUUUGGUUGGCCUUGGAAGAUUGAACCGAAUACAGCCACACCUCGUCACUUGUAAACGUACCCUGCAAAAACCCCACCCAGAAUGUCUAAUAUUUGCAAAUAACACACACACAAACCUCGACAAAGGUAUAUAUUUAAUGAUUUAUUUAUUUUCUAGUACAAAUAACAUUUAUGACAUUUACUGAUCAGUAACGAUGACCCAGGAUACCGCUAUAUGUCCUACCUCAGGAAGAGAGUCUAUUGUGGGUGUGCAAAAUUCAGAUAUAAUGCCGACUUAUGAUUUAUUUACAUUUUAUUAUUUCUUUACAUGACCAAUCCAAAGCCUUACUGUUUCCCUGAUAUAGAAUUUGCUGAAUAUAACUAAUUAGGAGUUAUAUAAUAAGACAAAUUUAAAAAUGUAAAUUAUAUCAAAUAUUUUUUUAUAGAUGCUUAUUUAAAUCUCACCUUGACUAAUAAGUUUAUAUAUGAAAAAGGCCAAUUGAUAAAAUUGGAAAUAUGUCUGAAAUUUGCAUGUCGAUCCACUGAACCACGUGGUUGUUGCACAUCAAGAUUGCCUGUCAUGCAAAAAUCUAUUAAUUUAACACUGUUAAAUAAGUAUUUUUUUAUGACCAAUUACACUGAUAUUAAAAAUAUACCCAUAUAUGGUUAUUUAUAUUAUAUAACUGUAAAAGUAUCGCAUACGUGCCC